rnacentral:rRNA from 1 species
UACGGAGGGGGCCAGCGUUGUUCGGAAUCAUUGGGCGUAAAGGGCGCGUAGGCGGCCACGCAAGUCGGAUGUGAAAUCCCUCGGCUCAACCGAGGAACUGCAUCCGAAACUGCGAGGCUCGAGUCCUGGAGAGGGUAGUGGAAUUCCCAGUGUAGCGGUGAAAUGCGUAGAUACUGGGAGGAACACCGGUGGCGAAGGCGGCUGCCUGGAGCUUUGCUGACGCUGAGGCGCGAAAGCGUGGGGAGCGAUCCGG